AUUGAACGCUGGCGGCAUGCCUAACACAUGCAAGUCGAACGGAAGAAGGCUGCUUGUUCCUGGAUUCAGCGGCGGAAGCGGGAGUAUUGCCUAUGAAUCGGCUUGGUAGUGGGGGAUAAUGACCGCAAGCGGGCGGUACUACUGCCUACGACCUGCGCCUGCUGGUGGGUGUGGUUCGGACCUCUCGCUAUCAGAGGAGCGUAGGUCGGAUUAGGUAGUUGGUGGGGUGAAGGCCUACUUAGCCGACGAUCAGUAACUGGUCGGAGAGGAGGAUCAGUCACACUGGAACUGAGACACGGUCCAGACUCCUACGGGAGGGAGCAGUGGGGAAUGUUGGACAAUGGGCGAAAGCCUGAUCCAGCGAUGCCGAGUGUGUGAAGAAGGCCUUCGGUUUGGAAAGCACGUUUGGUUGGUAUGAAGGGCAUUAGGUUAAUACCUUGCUUUAUUGACGGUACCGGCAGAAGAAGCACCGGCUAACUUCGUG
rnacentral:rRNA from 1 species